CUCUGUGGGAGUCCAGCGCCCAAACUUGUGGCGGCCGCGCCCAUCCCCCACCGGACGGGCACCAGGUCAAGAAGAAUGACUCGACAAAUCCCAGGGCCGCGGCCUCAAGCCCGCCUCAGACGGGUCGUCAGGAGCCUCAGGAAUUCCUCAGAACCCAGGAGUGAAAACUAAGUUGCCAAGGGAGAAAUGCCUAUGGCAGGUCUACGUUGAAUUUUGGAAAGAAAAGCAGAAAUUGCACCCAGCUGUGUAAAACUCUUUGCGCUGGACUUGAAAGCUGACAGAACUUUCCAGAUUGCUCUUCAGCCUUCCUGUCCUGACUUGACUAUGGAGGGACAAGAAAACCCCCCUGCCUGACGUGGAGGAGGAACUGAUGAUGGAAGCCUAACAUCUACUCGAGAAUAAGGAAGAAGAAAGAAGUUUUCAGAGGAACAAAAAGCUGAGGUUCUUUCUCAGGUGACCAGACCUGGCUUCAAACCACACCCUGUUUGCUUUUGGCUGUUCCUGCAAGCCGUGAGAUUCCUGUUGUUUAAAGGCUGAGUCACGAGCUUUGUGAGGUAGUUUUUUUCAUGGUCC